GGUGGCUCAGUGGUAGAAUGCUUGCCUUGCAUGCAUGAGGUCUUGGGUUCGAUUCCCCAGCACCA
rnacentral:tRNA from 1 species